GCGUAAGAGCUCGUAGGUGGUUAGUUACGUCGGAUGUGAAAAUCUAGGGCUCAACCCUAGACCUGCAUCCGAUACGGGCUAGCUUGAGUUUGGUAGGGGAGACUGGAAUUCCUGGUGUAGCGGUGGAAUGCGCAGAUAUCAGGAGGAACACCAAUGGCGAAGGCAGGUCUCUGGGCCAAUACUGACACUGAGGAGCGAAAGUGUGGGGAGCGAACAGGAUUAGAUACCCUGGUAGUCCACACAGUAAACGAUGGGCACUAGUUGUGGGAACCUUCCACGGUUUCUGCGACGCAGCUAACGCAUUAAGUGCCCCGCCUGGGGAGUACGAUCGCAAGAUUAAAACUCAAAGGAAUUGACGGGGCCCCGCACAAGCAGCGGAGCAUGCGGCUUAAUUCGACGCAACGCGAAGAACCUUACCAAGGCUUGACAUAUACAGGAAUAUGGCAGAGAUGUCAUAGCCGCAAGGUCUGUAUACAGGUGGUGCAUGGUUGUCGUCAGCUCGUGUCGUGAGAUGUUGGGUUAAGUCCCGCAACGAGCGCAACCCUCGUUCUGUGUUGCCAGCAUUUAGUUGGGGACUCACAGGAGACUGCCGGGGUCAACUCGGAGGAAGGUGGGGAUGACGUCAAAUCAUCAUGCCCCUUAUGUCUUGGGCUGCACGCAUGCUACAAUGGCUGGUACAAAGGGCUGCAAUACUGCA
rnacentral:rRNA from 1 species